rnacentral:rRNA from 1 species
GUGGCCAAGUUGUUAAGGGCACACGGUGGAUGCCUGGGCACCAGGAGCCGAUGAAGGACGUAGGAGGCUGCGAUAAGCCUCGGGGAGCUGUCAACCGAGCGUUGAUCCGAGGAUUUCCGAAUGGGGGAACCCCGCACCAGUCAUGUGGUGUGACCCGCGCCUGAACACAUAGGGCGUGUGGAGGGAACGUGGGGAAGUGAAACAUCUCAGUACCCACAGGAAGAGAAAACAACCGUGAUUCCGUGAGUAGUGGCGAGCGAAAGCGGAUGAGGCUAAACCGAUCGCAUGUGAUAGCCGGCAGGCGUUGUGUGGUCGGGGUCGUGGGACCGUCCAGUUGGAUCUGCCGAUCCGACGGGGAGUGAGAAAAUGUGGUGUUAGUGGAAGGCCUCUGGAAGGGGUCGCCGUAGAGGGUGAGAGCCCCGUACACGAAAACGCUGCAUCUCCCGGACGUGUUUCCCAAGUAGCACCGAGCCCGUGAAAUUCGGUGUGAAUCUGGCGGGACCACCCGCUAAGCCUGAAUACUCCCUGGUGACCGAUAGCGGACAAGUACCGUGAGGGAAAGGUGAAAAGUACCCCGGGAGGGGAGUGAAAUAGUACCUGAAACCGUGUGCCUACAAGCCGUGAGAGCCUUAGUUCCUUCGGGGGCGGGGUGAUUGCGUGCCUUUUGAAGAAUGAGCCUGCGAGUUAGUGGUACGUGGCGAGGUUAACCCGUGGGGGGUAGCCGUAGCGAAAGCGAGUCCGAACAGGGCGAUUGAGUCGCGUGCCCUAGACCCGAAGCCGAGUGAUCUACCCAUGGCCAGGUUGAAGCGCGGGUAAGACCGCGUGGAGGACCGAACCCACUUAGGUUGAAAACUGAGGGGAUGAGCUGUGGGUAGGGGUGAAAGGCCAAUCAAACUCGGUGAUAGCUGGUUCUCCCCGAAAUGCAUUUAGGUGCAGCGUCACGUGUUUCUUGCCGGAGGUAGAGCACUGGAUGGCCGAUGGGCCCCACAAGGUUACUGACGUCAACCAAACUCCGAAUGCCGGUAAGUGAGAGCGUGGCAGUGAGACUGCGGGCGAUAAGGUUCGUAGUCGAGAGGGAAACAGCCCAGAUCAUCGGCUAAGGCCCCUAAGCGUGUGCUAAGUGGAAAAGGAUGUGGAGUCGCAGAGACAACCAGGAGGUUGGCUUAGAAGCAGCCACCCUUGAAAGAGUGCGUAAUAGCUCACUGGUCAAGUGAUUCCGCGCCGACAAUGUAGCGGGGCUCAAGCACACCGCCGAAGCCGUGGCAUUCAUACUUUUCCUGUCGGUCCUUGUGUGGGCCGGCCAGGUGUGUGGAUGGGUAGGGGAGCGUCGUGUGGCGGUAGAAGCGGCGGAGUGAUCCAGCCGUGGACGCCACGCGAGUGAGAAUGCAGGCAUGAGUAGCGAGAGGGGAGUGAGAAACUCCCCCGCCGGAAGACCAAGGGUUCCUGGGCCAGGCUAAUCCGCCCAGGGUGAGUCGGGACCUAAGGCGAGGCCGACAGGCGUAGUCGAUGGACAACGGGUUGAUAUUCCCGUACCCGCGAAGGAACGCCCAUGCUGAACCCAGCGAUGCUAACCACCCGAAC